rnacentral:pre_miRNA from 1 species
AGUGGGAUAGCUGGGUCAAAUGGUGGUUUCAUUCCAAGUUUUCUAAGGAAUCUUCAGACUGCCUUUCAGAUUGGUUUCACCAAUUUGCAUUCCCAUCAGCAAU